GGAGAUAUAACUCAGUGGUAGAGUGCUCACCUAAUAUGUGCAAGGCCCUGGGUUCAAGUCUCAGUACCA
rnacentral:tRNA from 1 species